GGAUUAGAUACCCUGGUAGUCCACGCCGUAAACGAUGUCUACUAGUUGUCGGGGGUCUUGUAUCCUUGGUAACGAAGCUAACGCGAUAAGUAGACCGCCUGGGGAGUACGGCCGCAAGGUUAAAACUCAAAUGAAUUGACGGGGGCCCGCACAAGCGGUGGAGCAUGUGGUUUAAUUCGAAGCAACGCGAAGAACCUUACCUGGCCUUGACAUCCUGCGAACCCUUUAGAGAUAGAGGGGUGCCUUCGGGAACGCAGUGACAGGUGCUGCAUGGCUGUCGUCAGCUCGUGCCG
rnacentral:rRNA from 1 species